UCAGAGGCCACUGAUGUGAUUAAAUGGGGUCUGGGAGGGAAAUCCUCAUUUACUACUAAAUCAAUAUACUCUUUCCUGGAAAGGAGUAUUGCUGGGUGCGACUACAGAUGGAUCUGGAGUGCUAGAAUACCUCUUAAGAUCCAAAUCUUCUUGUGGCAGUUAUUUCAGAAUGCUGUCCUAACUAGAGAUGUGAUGAAACAUCGAGGGUGGAAGGGGAAUCCCAAGUGUUCCUUUUGUGAUGGGUGA
rnacentral:rRNA from 1 species